rnacentral:misc_RNA from 1 species
UCCUUGUUAACCAAGGCAGUCUCGUUAGAGUUCCCAGCCUAACUGUUGGCAAAUAACGAUAAGGGUUGCGCUCGUUGCUGGACUUAACCAAACACCUCACGGCACGAGCUGACGACAGCCAUGCAGCACCUAUGUAAGUGUUCUUUCGAAAGAUGCCAUCUCUGGCACUGUCACCUACACUUCUAGCCUAGGUAAGGUUCUUCGCGUUGCAUCGAAUUAAACCACAUGCUCCACUGCUUGUGCGGGCCCCCGUCAAUUCUUUUGAGUUUCACCCUUGCGAGCGUACUCCUCAGGCGGUGUACUUAUCGCGUUCGCUACGACACAGGUAGGGUUGAGCCCACCUACGUCUAGUACACAUCGUUUACGGCAAGGACUAC